UGGGGAAUAUUGCACAAUGGGCGAAAGCCUGAUGCAGCAACGCCGCGUGAGCGAUGAAGGCCUUCGGGUCGUAAAGCUCUGUCCUCAAGGAAGAUAAUGACGGUACUUGAGGAGGAAGCCCCGGCUAACUACGUGCCAGCAGCCGCGGUAAUACGUAGGGGGCUAGCGUUAUCCGGAAUUACUGGGCGUAAAGGGUGCGUAGGCGGUCUUUCAAGCCAGAAGUGAAAGGCUACGGCUCAACCGUAGUAAGCUUUUGGAACUGUAAGACUUGAGUGCAGGAGAGGAGAGUGGAAUUCCUAGUGUAGCGGUGAAAUGCGUAGAUAUUAGGAGGAACACCAGUAGCGAAGGCGGCUCUCUGGACUGUAACUGACGCUGAGGCACGAAAGCGUGGGGAGCAAACAGG
rnacentral:rRNA from 2 species